UGGGAGCUGAGGCUGCCCUGGCCAUGACCCUGGCGGGUCACCCUCUCCGAACCUCACUUUGCUUUUCCAUUAGAGGGCGUUUCCUUCCAACCCCGUUCCUGCAUGGCGGACUGGCCUCGAGCCCAUGAAAGCUCUGAGCAAGGUGGGCAUCGGCUGGCCAUGGCCAUGGUCACACUGGGCUGGGAGGAGGCCCCACUUCUGAACCAUAGAAACACCACGUUGGGUUGGAUCCCAGAGGCCUGUGGGAACUCGAGAGCCCUGCUCGGCCUGCAGUUGCUCUUGGAAGCAGCUUGCACAUACGACUUUUCCAAAUGGGAAAGUCCAGGAGGGAUUCUAAGCAGAAGGAGCCGCAGGAACAAAUCCUGAGCCUAUCCCUAGUGUGCCCUGGAGGAGAGCGACCCGGGGGAACGUGCCACCCCUGCCCGGGAUUAGCUCAGAGAUGGCCGGGAAAGCAGCUGCAGCCAGUGAGGUGCACGGAGGAGCGGGGUGGAGAGGGUCCUCGGGAAUGUGUCCCUUGCUUCUUAGAGGGGGCACAGGAAAGAAAGCCCCCUCGGCCUCUAGACGGCAUUGAGUGAAGUCCUCAUGCUGCCGCCAUCUUGUCUCAUCCAUAUGCUGGGAAUCAGAGAGUAGUCAGGGUCCCCAGGCCUUCAAGUCACCCAGGCUUAGGGCUAACCUGCCUCAGGACCUCUUAGGGGACGAGGAGCAUCCCCCACCACUCAGAGAUGGAGAUCUGCAGCUGGCAGCCCCACCUGAGAGGACCUGAGCCCUUCCUCUCCCUCCUCAUCCCCGCCACCUACCCAGGCGGCCCUCACUGCCCCUCCACCGCGCCUCAGUCCGGUUCAGGACCCAUCUCACCUGGGCUGUGGCAGUGUCCUCCCGGCUGGCGUCCCCCCUCCUCCUCCCCAGGGCUCUGGGUGAGUGGGACAGCCCCAGGCCAACGCGGGAAGCAGCUGGCCGGCAGGAGGCGCCAGGCAUCGCCAUUAGAAGGCCACACGCCUGCAGCUGGGACACCCAGGCUAGAAGGACUGACCCUAUCAAGUGCUGGCGAGGACACGGCUGGGCUGGUUCUGCACAGCUGGUGGGAGGGUGCUCUGUGAGCCACCCAGGAAGCGGCCGGCGUUUCACUCCUGCGCACAAAGCAGAGAGGAGCCAGCGGGAGCCACGAGUCAGCGGCUUCAUUCAAAGGAGCCCAAAUCUGGGGACAUAACAGUUGUCCAUCAACAACAGGAUGAACAAGCUGGGGCGUGUCUGUACCCUGUGACACUGUACGGUACGGCAGUGCAAAGAAGAAUCCCCACUGCAUACAGAAACACGCACGAUGAGCAGAAGAGCCGCAGAAGACCACGUGUCGCAGGAUCCGUCUGCGUGACGUCCAAGAGCAGGCCAUGCAAAGCGGGGCAUGGCGGUGCCCGCCUGGAGUCCCAGCCGCUCGGGAGGCUGAGGCCGGAGGAUUGCCAGUUCAAGGCCAGACUGGGCAACCUGGCAAGACCCUGUCUCCAAGUAAAAUAAAACGGGCCGGGUGUGGCCCAGCUGUGCGGCUCUUGCCUGGCGUUUGGAGGCCUGGGUUUGAUCCAGGUCACAGAAAAC
rnacentral:lncRNA from 1 species